CCCUUAGAUGUUCUGGGCCGCACGCGCGCUACACUGAUUUAUGCAACGAGUUUUGUCCUUGGCUGAAAGGCCUGGGUAAUCUUUGAACGUGAAUCGUGCUGGGGAUAGAUGAUUGCAAUUAUUCAUCUUCAACGAGGAAUUCCUAGUAAACGCAAGUCAUCAGCUUGCAUUGAUUACGUUCCUGCCCUUUGUACACACCGCCCGUCGCACCUACCGAUUGAAUGGUCCGGUGAAAUCUUCGGAUCUGAGAGAUGUUGGAUUAAUUUCUGACGCCUUUUGGAAAAGUCGCUUAAACCUUAUCAUUUAGAGGAAGGUGAANUCGUANCA
rnacentral:rRNA from 1 species